UACAGAGGUCCCAAGCGUUGUUCGGAUUCACUGGGCGUAAAGGGUGCGUAGGUGGUGAGGUAAGUCGGAUGUGAAAUCCUCCGAGCUCAACUCGGAAAUGGCAUUGGAAACUACCUUGCUCGAGGGUUGGAGGGGGACUGGAAUGCUUGGUGUAGCAGUGAAAUGCGUAGAUAUCAAGCGGAACACCAGUGGCGAAGGCGAGUCCCUGGACAACUCCUGACACUGAGGCACGAAAGCUAGGGGAGCAAACAGG
rnacentral:rRNA from 1 species